rnacentral:rRNA from 1 species
CGGGUGCACUGAUCCGGCCGGGCCUUUCCCUCUGUGGAACCCCAUGGCCUUCACUGGCUGUGCGGGGGAAACAGGACUUUUACUGUGAAAAAAUUAGAGUGCUCCGGGCAGGCCUAUGCUCGAAUACAUUAGCAUGGAAUAAUAGAAUAGGACGCGUGGUUCUAUUUUGUUGGUUUCUAGGACCGCCGUAAUGAUUAAUAGGGACAGUCGGGGGCAUCAGUAUUCAAUUGUCAGAGGUGAAAUUCUUGGAUCUAUUGAAGACUAACUACUGCGAAAGCAUUUGCCAAGGAUGUUUUCAUUGAUAAGGAACGAAAGUUAGGGGAUCGAAGACGAUCAGAUACCGUCGUAGUCUUAACUAUAAACUAUGCCGACUAGGGAUCGGACGAUGUUAUUUCUUGACGCGUUCGGCACCUUUCGAGAAAUCAAAGUGCUUGGGCUCCAGGGGGAGUAUGGUCGCAAGGCUGAAACUUAAAGAAAUUGACGGAAGGGCACCACCAGGGGUGGAACCUGCGGCUUAAUUUGACUCAACACGGGGAAACUCACCAGGUCCAGACACAGUGAGGAUUGACAGAUUGAGAGCUCUUUCUUGAUUCUGUGGGUGGUGGUGCAUGGCCGUUCUUAGUUGGUGGAGUGAUUUGUCUGCUUAAUUGCGAUAACGAACGAGACCUUAACCUGCUAAAUAGCCCGUACUGCUCUGGCAGUUCGCCGGCUUCUUAGAGGGACUAUCGG